rnacentral:rRNA from 1 species
CGGCUAGCUCGGUGGCAGCAGCCGCGGUAAUACAGAGGUGGUAAGCGUGGGUAGGAAUUAUUGGGCGUAAAGGGCGCGUAGGCGUUGCGGUAAGGCUGUAGUGAAAUCUCCGGGCUCAACUCGGAAAUUGCUAUAGAAACUGCCGGGCUUGAGUGUGGGAGAGGUGAGGGGAAUUCCCGGUGUAGCGGUGAAAGGCGUAGAUAUCGGGAGGAACACCUGUGGCGAAAGCGGCUCACUGGACCACAACUGACGCUGAUGCGCGAAAGCUAGGGGAGCAAACAGGAUUAGAUACCUUGUAGUC